rnacentral:lncRNA from 1 species
UGUAAAUGUGCAAACAAUUCUAAUAACCUGUUUGCUUUGACAUUAUGGGGCAUUGUGUGUAGAUUGAGGGGGGGAACUAUUUAAUCAAUUUUAGAAUAAGGCUGUAACACAACAAAAUGUUGAAAAAGUGAAGGGGUCUGAAUACUUUCUGAGUGCACUGUAUAUAUUGCACAUAAACAGUUAUAGGAAUCUCCUUACAGCAAUGCCUCGGUAUGCCUUGAGACGUUCACAUUUGAGCUUUCUUUGUUGCAAGUGCAUGAUAACAAAUGAAUAACAUGAGAGAAAAGAGAGACCCGCAUGCUACUCUUGCUACUGUCACUCUUCUUGAUGAAGACCUUGAGGCUGAUACGUAAAACUUAAAAAAUAACAUUGAUACUAACAAGAGCAGCAUGGGAGUUUCUGUUUUCUCUUAAGCAAUGCCUCGGUAUAAAAGCACUGGUUACAAUUUACAGUGUAGUAUAUUACUCCAUGAUCAUUUUGUUUCAUUUUUAAAAAGGUCCUUAGAUGUGUUUCUAAAAAUCAUCAACAGUGUACUGUCCACUGUCCUUAUUUAUCCCUGCUAACUGUUUUUUCACAGGCAAAUUUAGUUUAGAAAUAUUGCUUAUCCGAAAGAAGUUAGACUGGUUUUUAGUCCCUCUGAUGUGAAUGUCGCAUACCGUCGGUAAUGUUGGCUUUGCAUUAUGAAGAGCAACGACCUGGGGAAUAGUUACAGGAGGAUGAAUGAGCCUAAAAUUGUCACCAGUACUAUUUCAGGGGAUUGGAUGUUUGUAUGAAAUGUAUAUUUUACUGUGCUGCAUGUGUUUGUUGUUUCUCUGGCCAGUCUUGUCUUUGUGUUAAGGAUGUGUCCCGUUCUCGUCAGUCAUCAGCUCAUCGAUUAAUCUUCCAGGAAGCAUUUUUCAGGGGAUCGAAUGUUUCUAUGAAAUGUGAAUUUUUACUGUGCUGCAUGUGUUUGUUGUUUCUCUGGCCAGUCUUGUCUUUGUGUUAAGGAUGUGUCUCGUUCUCGUCAGUCAUCAGCUUUUUGAUUAAUCCUCCAGGAAGCAUUUUGCAGCAGGUUGUACCACAUCAUGCACUGUAGUAAAUGCACAUUAACACCCCAUACUAGUGUAUUAUGACUUCCCUUUGUGUUCCACAUGAAAGGAGUGAACAGGGAUUAUUCACAUGUUUGAGUGUCACAGGAGCUUGGGAAAGAGCAACACUUCAUGCUGGAAAAGGAUGAAAGAAGGAUAGACUUGCGCCGUUGAAAAAGUGGAAGAGUCAGAACUGUAAAACUGUACAAUGUGCAGAGUUUUACCUGAAGAUGUUUUAUGUCAUUAACAAACAUCUGGUUGAUACCGUGUUAAACGAGGAAUUCAUCUGACAAGGGAUAGACACUUUGGUGAGUACAUUUUCUAAUGCUGUCAGUGGUUACCAUUUUUUAUCUUAUUGCAUUUAGCCAGAGUCAUUAUUUACUAUGUGAACUAAUUGUAAUUUGUACAUAUAAUAUUAGAUUUCAAUCAUAAUAAUUGCUAUAAUGUUAUUUUUUAAUAAAG